rnacentral:antisense_RNA from 1 species
CGUUACGGUAGGCUAGGCAGGGCAGCUUCGUGCUGGUCGCAUACCGUUUGAGCGAUAUUCCUACACCCUGCUUAGUCUGCCACCAUU